GGAUAAUUCCGGAAAUUCUAUUUUCACGCUCAAAUGGACUCCUUCGCCAACCGUGCGCGCAACAUACCGCAAUUAUGCAAAAUACAGUGCGAUUUGCGAUCGUAAUACGAAACUUCCCGUCUUAGACCCUACGGAAAAAGAUCCGUUUGAUUUUCCUUGCUGGGAAAAAGAUUGGGAAGCCAAUUCGUGCGAUAACUAAUUCCGACAAUUUUAUAGCUUCGAAACCCUUUAAAUAACGCUUCGAACGCUAAUUGCGGAUUGCUUUAUAUUAAUGCUUUCCAAUACGUAUGCUCUCUCGAGCGCGAACUUAACUGCGCUCAAAUUCCACGCUGAUAAAACUGUACUUUUUUUUACAGAAAAGGAUUAUUUAAAAAUCUAUACACUAUAUCAACACACACUAUAAUACGCCGCUGGCCUGUUUACUCGUUCAAAUUCAAUUUCCGGCCGCAAGGUAUUGAUUUUCUGCCGUGUCGAAAAAGUGUACGCACAUUCGCCCGGUUGCCCGUAAUACUUGCGCGUCAUGAAAAAAAAUAUUUCACGUCGCUUUGACGUCUACACAUUCGUGGACAUAAUGACACUCGCACAUAAUGCGCGGGGCAAAAUUUAGUAAAUUCUCAAAAGUAAUAUCCGCGAGUAAAUAGUGAGCCACAUAUCUCAGAUGGAAAUCGUAGCACGAUUUUUGACUACAAAAAAAGAUCAAAAAUGUACAGAAAUAUAUUUCUUUUAUCUGCAACUGUCCGAGAAAAAUCCUGUUCUGAAUAUUAUAAUCUUCUUUUAAAGUUGGAUGAUCUCUUCUCAUAUCACGUAAAAUUUUUAUCAAAUGUUAAAACGGUUAUUAAACUUUUAUUUAAUAAAAUAGUUUUGAAUUUAUACAAUUUAAGUUAAAAGUGUAUGUACAAGUGAAGAAAAACCGAGUAAGCUUUACAUUGUUUUAAAAAUUAUAUAUUUUUAUUUAUAUCUUAACAGCCUCGCUGUCGCGACACAACUUCAAAACAAAAAAAUUAUUUUAUACUUCCAAACUACUUUUUGUGCGAGUAAUGACCUCCUUUUCAGUUGUAUCAUCAUUUCCGCCUCACUCUAUAUAGUACUUUCCGGAAGAGGUUCCCUUUUGUUAGCACGCUUUAAAACAAAGAUGGACCCCGCGCUACUCUUGUGUCGACUACGUCGCAUAAAGCCGAUGCAGUUCGCAUUAAAAGCUACUGCGAAGUUAAAUUAGUUUCCUAACGAGUUACUAAAAAAUGCCGGCCAACACACUCGUGACACUUGCUAGUAUAGAAGUAUUUUACACGUGUAAAUGUUUCUAUAGUAUAUAAAAUAGUCGCGCGCCAUGGGACGCAACCUGGCGCUGACGAGACGACAUUCUUUAUUGCAGAAUUUUUAAUAUAAAACGGCAUAUAUAAUCACGGGUGAAUUAAUUCAGAAACGUAAUGGCAAAAGCAACGAGGAGAAUUUCGUCCAAUCAGUAAAUUGUGUCGGCAAAUGAAAGGGUGAUGUUCAAAUAAAGACCUUCACGGUUCACAUCUCUGGACCCGGCAGCGAGAACGCUGAUGAUGUUAGCGUUGCUCGCGAAUAAACUCGAGAGACACAAACGCAAAUAACAAAGCACACGCGAAUGAAAUAUUCUUACCGCGGACAGCAAAUCGCGGUAAUAACAAUGACAGAGAGAUGGACAGUAAAAAAAAAAAUUUAGUAGCAGAGAUGUAUACUGCGGUCAAUUUUUCGGUAUGACAUAGAAAUAAUUUAUAUAUUCGAUUUUUUUAUUAAGCGCAAAACUUUCUUUCGAAUCCAUACAAAAGGAAAGAGAUUUAUGUCGAGCAAACGAGAUGUAAAAUGUUGUUGCAAAUAAUCGGAGAUGGUUAUCACGUUUGAUUUCGACGUGACAAACCAGAUAAACGAGUGAGCGAAUUAAUAAAAAACGAAAAACAAAAAAUUCUGCAUGGCAGAGUAAGAAUCGAAUUGUAACGAGAACUCGUAAACUUUUCCCAUUUCCGUUAAUAUUACGACGGAAUGAUCUAAUGUAUAAAUCUAAUCGCGCAUAUCGCGAUAUAACGGAGCUUUUUCGCGUAAUGGCGCGCGAGGCAGAGAGGUGGACUGAUUUAUUUCGUCCGUUUGUAUCUCUUUCGAUAGAUUGUCUUUCCACGCGCGCGUAUCUUUCCCCGCUCGCUGUAUUCGUCAUUUAAUUCCACAAAAAUCAGCGCGCCGAAAGCGAAACGAUCCAACGUUUAUUCAAUCAAAAUUUGUAACGUGUUUCGCGAAGCUGUCCUACUCGUGCACGCCGGCAUAUUGGAACGCGAACGAUAUAUACGAACGCGGCGUUUAUUUUUUUAUUUCUAUUCGUUUUUCGGUUACUGUAUUUGCCGGGUGCGGGAUUAGUCGCCGGGCUCGCCGAAGAUAGAGUGAUCCCACGAUAGCAUAUCGUUCCGAUAUUCCAUUUCCUGCAUUCACAAUAUGUUAAAAAAUAUUACAUUGUUCGGCAAUAUAUUCCUGAUCCGAAAAAAAAAAGGAUAGCGCAUUACGUUUAUCUGGCUAAUAAAAUUGCCACUGAUAAGCUACUCCAUUUGAGUAUUCUCGUUACUCGCCACGAAAAUAAUUUUCACGUCGAAUCCGCCUCUAUCUAUCUAUAGAUAUCUUUUUUUUCACACGAGUUAGUUUCGAGUGUAAUUUGAAUAUAACGUGCAGAUACACUUCAAUACGAUUUAUAAAUAUUUCCUCGUGCGAUUAUCCGAGAAUAAGCUGAGCGUUGAUGAUUUUUUUAGGGAAUUAUCGGGUUAUGCAAAAAGUUUCUUUUACAGAGAUCUCACGUGAAACUCGACGAUGACACGUCAGUCAAAAGUAGGAUUAGAUACAGGUGGCACUGUACUCUUAAGCUGAACACCCCGUGUGUGGCUCUCUCUUUCCCUCCCCGGUGCGUGGAUAUACGCGGACUUCCCCAACAAUCACAGUGUGUUGGGACGAUAACGUUCGCGCGUUUGAAAUCCCGUUUAAGCCGAGAAACCAUAAUAUACUUGUAACUAUAUGCCGUUGCACGAUGCCUUGGUCCUCGUUCAUUCUUCUCCUACCGUAUAAGCGCGUCCCAUCGUCUGUAUGGCACGUAGCCGUGGUAGCAACGGUUGAUUUCCAUAAAAUUAUUGCCCAGCUUAGUAUGCCGGGCUCUUACAGCUUACAUCGCAAUGUUGUUAUAUUUUGGGCACCACCUUUUCUAACCCUAGGCUAUACGGUUUCGUAAUGAAGAGCUGCGGCAAUUAAAAUAAGAGCAAAAUAAUUAUCCUUUUUUUUUUUUUUUUCAAGCGCUACGCUUCGAAAAAGGUAGAUUAAGGUCGGUCUGAAAAUUAUCCGCCAGCAGAAAAAAAAAUUAAUCGAAAGUGCAGGAAAAAAAAUUAGAUGUAUGCGUCCGAAAGUUAAUUAGUUCAGAACAGAGAGCGUGAGUGUUCGUUGCCAGUAGCAAGGUUGUGAUUAACUAUUGGAAAACCGUUUAAUUAACGUUUUCAUCAUUUAAUUCGAGUAUAAAAGAGAUCAAGAAGACUCAACAUGUUCAAGCUUUAUCACGUAUGACCGCCUACGCAGGCGCAUCGAGAUCAAUCUUACUAAACAAUGUGUCAGUUUUUAUAUCGCUCAGCGCAGUGUCAUAAAACGCUACGUUUCUUCCAUAAAAAAUUGAUUUAUUAAGGCCAAAUAAUAAAAAAUAUAUCAAACAGCAAGAAUUAAAAUACCGCGGUAAAAUACGAUCUCCCAUCAAACUUUCAAUUAGGCGGAAGCCUUAAAUUCCCCAAAAUAAUCCAUUUUCCAUAAAAAACGUUUUCUUUUCACUUUAUUCAAUACUCAAUUCAAUUAGCGUAUGAUUUAAUUGAUUUCAAUCUACGGAAUUAUUUUAAGACCAACACAUCUCGAGUUACGAAAGGUAAGCGCCGAGAUGCAUCUUGAAAUAUAUCAAUAUCUCGAGUAAACACCCGACGGGGGCAGAUACCGCAAACGGAAUCACAACAUGUCACGGUCGUUUUAAUCGACGGAGGCUCGCACAUAUCAAUGUACACACGAUAGCGUAGCGAUAGAGCGAAGUCUUUAAUUCGACGUCGUGUAUGCCGCGGGCAGAGAAGCGGCUAAGUUUAAAUUAGUUCCGAAACAUUCGGUGCACGCUCUGAUGGUUAAUGGUUCUACCAUAGAUCAAUAAGAUCGGUGGCGGCGGCGGCGGCGGCAGCAGCGGCGGCUACAGCUGCAGCUGCAGCUGCAGCUGCGGCAAUGACGAUGCGACGAGAAAGAGCAGUUGCAGAGCGAAUUGCAGAACGUACCGCGCGUUGCGUUUCGUUACGUUGCGCUGCGCUGCACUGCAUUGCGUUGCAUUGCGUUGUCGCACCUCGCCGCGAGGCAUCCAGCUGCGAAAAGCGCCGCAGCCGCUUGACCGGAUACCCCCGCCGCGCUUCCCCUACGUGCUCGAUAUAUACCUGUUUCUCGCGAGAGCUCACGGGCGCACGGAAAGGAAAAACGUACACGAAGUCAUAAUUUCCACCUUCGAUAAGGCGCGCCUGCGUACAUACAUGCAGGCAGGCAGGCAGGUAGGCAACGGACGCGCUCGACCUUGUUACUGCACCGCGUGUAAUGCGAUAUGUCUUUAAGGGAUCCGAGAUACGUGGCGAUUAGGGAUGUUCGGGGUGUGCGCGAUCGUUGGUAUUAGAAAUAGCUUAUCGUUCGGACGAAUUUAUUACGAUAACAGGUGACUCGGUGGGAGGAUGCGUUGUCGGAACGGAGGCAGGCAAUCGGCGGCGCGCACACCACACUUACACACUGCGGAUAUUAUCGAUUUCAUAUCUUUCUACCCCGGGCGGAUGUUAUUCACCUCAUUAUCGUCGAAAUAAUGGUUAUCGUUCGAUACCGCUUUAUCGCGGAGGAUGACUUUCAAGGGAACCUUAAGGAAAUUUUGUAAGGAGCUGCAUUAAGACAACCAAGAAACUUUGGCCGCAAAACAUUUUCGAUCCGACGAUGAACAUGUUACGCAAAGCAGCUACCUCAUCAAGGUACACACUUUCAUUCGUAAAUCUUAAAAGUAUUCAGAUAAAUAUCAUCUCCCUGUUCAUCCGCGAUAAACAUUUUCCAGGAAAUUCACACGCAGAGUCAGUGUGAGGUGACUUGCUCGACCAGAUCUCCGACUGUUGUCUAACCAAUUAAUCAGUCGAUAAACGGAGGCGAUAAAAAUAAAGCUCGUAAAAAUCCCUACUUGCAACUUACUUUCAAAUUACGCUAAGCAAUUUAACUAUCGUAACUUGUUAUUUGCAUUAUAAAUAUGUAUAACAUAAUAUUAUAAAGUAUUCGACUAAUAAUGCAGGUACGUCACACGAAAAGGAAUGAAGAUGUAAACUGAAUAAAACAUUUGACUUAUUUAAAAAUUUAUCUCUAGAGAGAAUAACAUUAUACAUCUGUUUCAACUUUGUACCUAUAUUUCGUUGCUUACUAAAAAAGUAUAUAAUUCAUGAGACAACUAUAUAAAGUAUCGCGAAACUCUAACGUUUGUUCGCCUGAAAUCUAAUGAAAAAAUUCAGCCGAGUACUCGCCGAGUAGAUUUAUCUUGGAUCAGAGGGCGUUCUAUUCUGAUAAUUAGCGCCGGAUAUCGCCGCCGCGCAGGCCAACUGAUAUUAAUUGAUGCAAUUAUAAGCACACAAUUCCGGCGAUAUUCGUUCUCCAUAUAUACGAGCGUACGGAAUUUUAAGAUCGCUUGCAGAAGCAGCGGCAGCAGCAGCAGCAGCAGCAGCAAUGGCAGCAAUAUCGGGGGCGCCCAACCUGCUCGACCGGAUCCAGAGUCGCUCCUGCCGCUGCAACUGCGGCCGAUUAAUCGACCUUACCGGUUCCCGCGGUGUAUUUUUCUCACUACCACCACGCUCGGGAGAGCCAGAUAUUAUAUUCUGCCGGAUACACACUUCGGCCGACGUAAUUUAAAUCGCAAACCUCCGCCCACACCUUCUAUUUCUGGCGGGGAUAUCGCGAAUUCUUAUUCAGCAGAUGUCGCUUCUAACACCGAGAUAAUGAAAAUGAACUCGAUAAAAAAGGGGAAGGGCAAGGGGAGGGGAUAAAAAAAAGGGCAUCGCCUCUAAUGAAAUUAUAUACAUAGGACCGGACUUGAAAGAUCAGCAAAUCGACCGCGCAUAACUAUUUUCCGUGUAAGUAAGCGGUUUAUCGACAUUUCAUUUAAUCUUCCGUGAGAAACUGUAACUCGCGCGCCUGGCUUAGGGUCGCUCCCAUAAACGUUAGUGAAAAUUAACUGAGCUUUAAUUCAUUCUCCGUUUCUCUCUAGAGGCACAAAACUAGAAAGAGAGAGAGAGAGAGAGCGAAUUGAUUAAAUCUCGGUUAACUUUAAGUAAUUUUUAUGGGAAACGAGCCUUAGAUGUGUGCGAGGCAAUUAAAACAUAAAUUUAACAGAACAUUUCUGAUUUUAUAAUUUUCCUUUAUUUAUAUAUUUCUCAAUAAAUUUAUGUUACUAAAGAGAAAGUUUAAUUUAGAAACAGACAAUCCUAAGAGACUCAUUAGACUUGACUAAACCGUUAAUGUGAACUACUAUCUCCGCUUUAAUGGAAUUUCCCUUAUUGAAAAUCUAUAACAUUCAAUAAUUUAAUGAAAAAAUAUACCUAUUACUUUUAUACCUGUUACUUUUUUACUUUUAGAAUUGUAUUUAUAGAAAUUAUUUCACGUUUUUUAGUUUUGCUAUCUAUAGAAUUGUAUUAGAUAUUCAAAUUAGUCUAAUACAUAUGGGCAAUAGUAUUAGGCUACGUACGUGUACAUUCUAAUAAUAUACAUCAUCUUUCAUAAAAUCAUAUGAUUAAUGAUUAAGAUAUUGAAUGAAUUUCAUUUUUCGCUAAAUAUUAAGGACAUCAGAUUUAAAUUUAGUUCGGCUCUAAUUUUUUUGUGCUUUUAUUGUAUUUGUAAAAUAUUUUCACAUCCAAAUUUUAGAAAUUAUUUUGAAACAACUGUUUCAACUGUUUCAAAAUAAUCCCAAAAAUAAAUUUUUCUAAAAAAAAUUACAUUUUUAUUUCGAAAAAAACUGAAAACCUAAUCGCUUGAAGAAAAAACGUAUACAUAUUAGAUAUUAUAUUUAUAAAUAAAAACAAGGAUAAAGAUUAUUUUUUAAUUACUUGCGCACUAAAUCAUAUCAUUUGCGUAUGAAUUAUAAAAAUGUUACAAAUUUAACAGAUCUUUUCUAACUCCGUUGUUACUGUUAUUUAAUCAUCAACUUUGCUCUAUAACAAAAGCGCGAAUUAAUUAAACAUUUCGUAUAUACAAAAUAAUUGAUUAAUAGAGAUGAUCCGACAUCAGAAAGACAUAAUAAUCAAAUUCUCAUAAAUAAUACAGCAAUUGCUAAUGCGCACUUAGUUCGCUAUCGAAUAUAUGAUGAUAAACGUAUUACUUCGUAACAAAUCAACACUGUCAUUGGUGCUAAAAUAAUAGCGAGAACGAGCAUGAUACUGAAUGAUACUGAAAUUUUAGCGAAUUCCGAACCGCAACGAGAAACCACGAUACGCCGGUUGGUUUACGAAAUCAAUACGAUCGUCGGCGUGGUGGCCAAUAGGGUCGAUUGAACCUCGUUGUGCAGUAAAAGCUGAGUAUAAUUUCGAGACCUGUCGCUCUGUACUAUCAUUGUGGUAAUCAUCACAUAUCGUCCAUCUUCCUUCUAUUUACUAACCAACCGGUGACCAUAUCACUGCGAUAAUUGGCCUGAAUAAUGGCGCGCUACAUCAUUGUAAAUAUUAAACCGGUAUUUUAAAGCUUCUGUCGCGUGUAGCGCAACACUUUCGAGUGCGGUAGAAAAAUUAGUGCAACGCCCCAAAGAUAAAUGCAUGUUUACUCAUAAUUAUACGUCGCGUUACCGGCUCAUUUUUUAAACAAACUUAAUUUACAUCCGAUUGGCAUUUUUCAAACAGCCGCAAACUCAUUUUAUCAACAUUAUUGAUUAAUGUAAAAGUAUUUAAAAGAGGACGAGGAGUUUUCUAUGUUUAAAUAUAUGGCAAAUCGUAUGCAGUCAGCAUGUUCUACCGCGACAUGAAAAAUUCAACCGCAUUUCGGGGCUGAGCUUUAAAGCACUUUUACCGAAAUCUUGCCUUAUCCAUAUGGUAAUGUUCACUCUACGACGAGAUAGCAAAUUCGGUGCAGCAUCUCCAACUGCACAUGCGCGAAUGGAGGUCCACGUUAACACCAAUCAGAUAUCCAGAUGCGCUUAAUUGGCAAUUGCUGCGACCUUAGGACGUACGGUUGGUUUGUCGAUUAAAGGAUAACUAUCUGUAAUGAUGCAUUAGCCCGUGCCAGGUGACCGGUACGCCGAGGAAAAUGCGACAAACAUUUGCCUCUGAUACUGUCGAACCAUAAUUGUGAUAUAGGAGGUGCAUAAAUAGAGACAGGAGAUACGUGAGAUUAAUAUAUGAUUAAGAAAAUUUUAAGAAUUCGACAUUUUGAACAGAUCUCCCUCUAUCUCGAGUAAAAUCUUUGGGCCUAUAAUCCUGUACCAGAAAAAUCUCAAUUAGCGUCGAGAUGUAAGGUAUGAAAUCUUACAUUAAAAAACCGGUAUAAAAAUCCGACUCGAAGCAAAUAGUUGUCCUCGCUUCUCGCUCGAGUGAUUUAUGGACCUAAAUUAACUGGAUGUUUUACGUCGAUCUGGCAGAGUCGAGCAUAAUCCCCGAACGCUCCUUUCCCAACUUUCCUGUUGGAUCUCGACUCGCGUAGGGAAGAAUUACGUCGUCACGGAGAGACGGAGAACAUAAUCAGAAUCAACAGCGGACGGUGUCGGUGGCAGCCGUUCGCUUCACGAGUAUCGAUUUUCUUCGAUGAUCGAGUCCGCCCGGCCGGACGAACGCGCUAAUGCCGUUUGUUCGCAUCGCGCCACGUCCUCCCCUCCCAUCCCUCCGGUUUCCGUUCAUCCCCCGUUUGCCGCGCGACGAAGCUCACCGCGAGCUUUCCAAGUACGCAGCUAUGCCCGGCCGUGCUCUCGUGAAAUUUACAGACGCGAUUAAUGUCACGACUGGCUCGUCCGGCAGGCGUUCGCUUGCCUAGCGGCCGUUUGCAGGCCUAACCGUUACUAAUUUCGGAGGGAAUUAUGGCCCCGCUAUUACAUACCCGACCUAACUGGCCUGGUCGGUCCCCACGUGCCUGUGUCCGUUCGCCGUCCGUGUGUGCCGCGUGUUAACGUCGGUGCACGGCAUCCGACGUCUUACGCGAAAGGCCUGCCGUAUUAUUGACGGAGCGCUGAUUUAUCGCCGUGAUAAAGACCCCGCGUACAACAACUCCCGUCUGCGAACGAUGUCCGUGGGAUGUUAUCGUUUGCCCGUUUGCGGCCCCUCGGACUCGGACACCGAAUCUAGUACGAACGGCCAACCAAAUGCCGAUAUGCCAGAGUAGAUAAAGCCGCGCCCGCUGAUUACACGAUUACUUCGUGCCGGGAGACCAAAUCCACGCGCGCGACCUCGCGUCGACGGUAAACACACAAGCUUUUACGAGGCUCGUUCGUGGCCGUCCGCGCCGUGCCGUUCUCUCCCGUGAACGUAUAUAUCAGAGAGCUUCGGGGAAACCCGUCGGAUUACGUUUUCGAUAUUUUCGCAGCUUUCGCUCGCGCCAUCCGAGUUAUCGAACGCUCUCGAUUUUUUUAUUUUUUUUAUUUCGCCCCCUCCGUCCUCGCGCCGGGUUUUCGGCGAAACCCGAGCCACCCCACCGGACACCGCGUGGCGAAGAACAAAAUUUGCAGUGUAAUCGCAUCGCGUGUAAAGACAAUCCCACUGUUAGUUAGGCCAUGUGUGAUUUACUACGUAUUGCAAUAAAGGCCGGUAACCGCGCGCGAUGUUAUCAUCGCGCCGUUUGUCUAGUUACACAGCCAACUGAGGAAGAGAGAGAGAGAGAGAUAGAGAGAGAGAAGAGGGAGAGUUUACCGAAACAACUAGCACUACGUUUCUGGUUUAGAGGAUUAAUGGCCUUAUGUUAAGGCUAUCUUGAUUAUGACGCGAUGUCCACGAUUUAAUUAAUUUAUUGACGGACAAGUAUCACGCGAUUUACGGGCUCCGAAACGAGACGGCGUCGCAACUGCAAUACAAAAUCGAAGAAAGAAAAUUAUUUGUGUACGCUUGUGUCACUGAAAAUUCAUAUUUACCGCGAGUCUCGCAUCGGAUCUUUUGAAAGCGUUUCGGUAUCCAGAUAUGUUUCUUUCCUGACGUUCCUCGGGGGAAAAUCUGUUUGCCCGUAUUCUCCGCUGUUACUCUUAGUACAAGUUUCUCAGACGCGAUAUACCACUUUUUUUUUUACGUAUUCAAGUUACAAAUAUUGCUGCAUAACCUGCUCCCCGAGAUGUGUGUAUACCUCGCGUAAGCAAUUUUUCUAAAAAUGACAAUCUCAACUUCGACAUACAAAACUGCGGACGUCGAGAACACGAUGAGAAUUUUUUAAACCGUCGCCAUUUUUAUGCUCUUUGAAGCAUAAAACGUCCAAGUCUGGCGACGGAGAAAGCCGAGCACCCGCAUAAAUUAUGCAUCCGAAAGGGUAAAAUUCUCUGCUGCGCAAACUUUGGGCUUGCUACGCUCUCGACGCCGCGAGAUCGUAUUUGUAAAAUUCAACUGAUAUUAAUGAGCAAAGCCGACCCUGGUGCUUAAGAAGAAUUUUCUUACAAUAUUUCGCGACCUAGAACCAAAUAUAUAGCGUAGUAGACGCUGGAUAUAUCGCAUAAUAGUGAUGUAAUAUUACUGGCGCAAACACUUUAUCAUCUCGAUAACAAAUACAUUUCUUCAAAGUAAAUAUAUAUUAUCUAGAAACAUCAAUUCCAUUUUUAUCCUUACGAUUCAUCCUUUUCUUAUUUGUUUACCUGUUACCGUUCCGUAAAUAGCUGAAUAUUGAUUUUCGCGAUUUUCAGUCGACUAAAAUGCGUAGCAUUAUAUUCUCCGUUAACUAUAACGAAUUGUAAUUAAUCGCAACGGUUUACGAUACAAUGUUCAUUUCUUGACUCGUGUAAUUAAAAUUAAUUAUGGCUGUUUGCAGCGGAGCGGACAACGCAAGAGUUAAUUAAUUGCUCGCGAUGUAUUGUUUCACCGCAUCGGGUAAGUCUUUACGGCACUUCUCGUAUCUUUGCUGCCAAAAGACCCUUUUUCCUUUGCCCGGCUUUUACGUCCGGACCCUUACGUCGGAAAUGUUCUCAAAUUGUGCUACGAAGACGUGAAUUCUAGCGGUAUGUCAAACAAUUGCGCUAUGCUAUCGCAAUAAAACACGAAAUUGGCAAGAUAUUUCACGGAAACUAAUAUAAAAUAAGUUUUCAUUGCGAUGAAAACGGACGACAUACUACAAUUACGAAAGUUUGCAGAGUUUCCAUCAUUUUUUUUUAAUCGGAUAUCCGUGACGAUUCAUUAUUCAAAAAAUUCGGCGGGGAGUUUUAAUAUAAUCAGAGUUCGCUUCACUUCUGUCUGGCGUCAAAGUUUUCUGGCAUUAUAAUUUUUCACGCUUAAUGCAACAAACUUUAGUUGACGCGCAGGUGUGUAGUAUUCGAGGAUCUCUUCUAUAAAACUUCCUAACCCGGUAACACCGACGUGCGUUAACAUUUUGUAAAUAAGAAGUUGUCACCAUCAUUCAUCUGGUCGGCUAUUCACCGAAACCCUCCAUCUUCCGGAUAACGUUAUUACCAAAAAGUAAUAUAGAAAAUGAAACAUGCAAUACAAAAGACUGACGCUACGCGCUUAUACAUAAAUGUAAACUACAGAAAAAUAAGAAGCGAUUAUUAAAAAAAUAUAAAGAAAAGAAAAAUAAAUUAAUAAUAUAAAUACAAAAAUUCCUUUUAGCAUUUUCCAGGCGUACUUUUUCAAUAGCAUUUUUGCAUUAACGUUAUAUACGUUACUGUCUCGGGAAGAUUUAAAACAACAUAAACAUAUCGUAAAUAUAAAUUUAUCGAGCUUGCGAAAAAGUCUGAUUGAAAAAUAUUGUUCAACUGAUAUUGUACUUGCACAAUCAAUGCAGUAUAUUCCAGCAAACUCCACUCGGUUUGAACAUAAAAUACUUAUAGUUACAGAACGUUUCGGAACAACUCCGAGUAAACUUAACAUAAAAGAAAAUUGUAAAAUGCAGAUCUUUUGAGGGAAAGUUAUUUUAGAAAGUCGAACGAUACCAGCUGCGCAAACAAUAGCAUCCCAAAAGUUCGCGGCACGAAAA